rnacentral:misc_RNA from 1 species
AAGUCGUAACAAGGUUUCCGUAGGUGAACCUGCGGAAGGAUCAUUAUUGAAUUUUGAAAGGGGUUGCUGCUGGUCUUUCGGGACAUGUGCACACCUCUUCUCAUCCAUUCUUACACCUGUGCACCCUUUGUAGGCCGGAUUAAUUUCUGGUCUAUGUUUUUCAUACACCCCAUUAAAGUCUUAGAAUGUCAAACACGUUUGUCCUAAAAAAACAAACUUAAUUAUACAACUUUUAACAACGGAUCUCUUGGCUCUC